rnacentral:lncRNA from 1 species
CAUACAUUGAACCUAGCCUCAUUUUCGGCUCAUGUGGAAGGAGGGGAAUCCCACGUAAACGCCUUUAUCUCAACCUGUCGGUAGGAAUCGUUUGUGGGUCUCUCAUGUCCUUUUUUUUAUCUAUAUGUCGGUCUCUCAGAGAUGCCAAGCCCUUCAAAAGAACUAGGUCUCGGAGCGAAUACUCCUUAUAGUCUAGUGCUCAAUGUUCUUGAUCCACU